AAAUUUUGAAAAAUUGAAAAUUGAAAUGGAGAAUUGGAAAGAAAACUAGAAAACUAGUUUUCCAGUUCUACAUUUAAAAAACUAGCACAUGUAAUCACAAAACUCUAUUUUCCAGCUAGAAAACUACUUCAAUUUUACACAAGUGAACAGACUCUAAUAAUGCUCCAGUAUGACCUUUAGUUAGUGCUCUUUAAUUUGGAGAACUUAAAAUUAAAAAUUUUCUAAAGCUUGCUACUUCUUAUAUUUUCUAAUCUUUCCGCUUAUAAGCCCCUCUAGUCCUUGCUCUCCACUAGGUCUGAAAAUAGUUUAGGGAUUCCUUCCCUAGAGAGUCAUGUGUUGGAAUAAAGGAAAAAGGCAUACUGUCCUAGCCAUUCAUAAGGAAACAUAGACCA
rnacentral:misc_RNA from 1 species